rnacentral:rRNA from 1 species
UGUAAGCGUAUACCAAAGUUGUUGCAGUUAAAACGCUCGUAGUCGGAAUUUGGCAGUUCCGGAUGUGUGCACGUCGUGUGCGCACUUCGCGGGGAUUGCUUUUGUGGUCUUGCGUAGGAUGAGGCACUUUUGUUAGUGAACGUCCUCACGCAACCACUUUUUACUGUGAGAAAAUCAGAGUGCUCAAAGCAGGCAUUUGCCGUGAAUGUAUUAGCAUGGAAUAAUAGAAUAGGACUUGGUUCUAUUUUGUUGGUUUGUUGGGACUGAGUAAUGAUUAAGAGGGACAGUUGGGGGCAUUUGUAUUUCGGUGCUAGAGGUGAAAUUCUUAGAUUACCGAAAGACAAACUGCUGCGAAAGCGUCUGCCAAGGAUGUUUUCAUUGA